rnacentral:rRNA from 1 species
GACGAACGCUGGCGGCGUGCCUAAUACAUGCAAGUCGAACGGUCUUUUCUAUGGAAGCUUGCUUCCACUGAGAGGAUAGUGGCGAACGGGUGAGUAACACGUGGGUAACCUGCCCAUAAGAGGGGGAUAACAUCCGGAAACGGGUGCUAAUACCGCAUAGUUUUCCUGAUCGCAUGAUUGAGAAAGGAAAGACGGCCUUUGUGCUGUCGCUUAUGGAUGGACCCGCGGCGUAUUAGUUAGUUGGUGAGGUAACGGCUCACCAAGACAAUGAUACGUAGCCGACCUGAGAGGGUGUUCGGCCACAUGGGGACUGGGACACGGCCCAAACUCCGACGGGAGGCAGCAGUAGGGAAUCUUCCGCAAUGGACGAAAGUCUGACGGAGCGACGCCGCGUGAGUGAAGAAGGUUUUCGGAUCGUAAAACUCUGUUGUCAGAGAAGAACAAGGCGGAGAGUAACUGCUCCGGCCUUGACGGUAUCUGACCAGAAAGCCACGGCUAACUACGUGCCAGCCGCCGCAGUAAUAC